rnacentral:rRNA from 1 species
UACCAGCACCCCGAGUGGUCGGGACGAUUAUUGGGCCUAAAGCAUCCGUAGCCGGUUCUACAAGUCUUCCGUUAAAUCCACCUGCCUAACAGAUGGGCUGCGGAGGAUACUAUAGAGCUAGGAGGCGGGAGAGGCAAGCGGUACUUAGUGGGUAGGGGUAAAAUCCGUUGAUCCAUUGAAGACCACCAGUGGCGAAGGCGGCUUGCCAGAACGCACUCGACGGUGAGGGAUGAAAGCUGGGGGAGCAAACCGG